rnacentral:rRNA from 1 species
UACAGAGGUCUCAAGCGUUUGUUCGGAUUCAUUGGGCGUAAAGGGUGCGUAGGUGGCGGGGCAAGUCAGGUGUGAAAUCUCGGAGCUCAACUCCGAAACUGCACUUGAUACUGCCUUGCUCGAGUACUGGAGAGGAGAUUGGAAUUUACGGUGUAGCAGUGAAAUGCGUAGAUAUCGUAAGGAAGACCAGUGGCGAAGGCGAAUCUCUGGACAGUUACUGACACUGAGGCACGAAGGCCAGGGGAGCAAACAGG